ensembl:snoRNA SNORD62 Small nucleolar RNA SNORD62
UCUCAGUGACCUGAUUCCAGUGGAUCCUUCUGACCCCUCAGUGUGGACUUGGCAGCAGGGCGAUGAGGAGGACAGGGAAUGGGGA